rnacentral:tRNA from 1 species
UCCCAGGUGGCUCAGUGGGAAAGAAUCUGCUUGCUGAGCAGAUGACACAGGUUCGAUCCCUGGGUUGGGAA